UUCAGCUGCCUUUCGGGCCCCAGAGUCCUCUGUUUGAUAAGCAUACUUGUGUCACAUGCUCUCUUCCCUUCUUGAGGGAUUCCAUCCAGCAUUCCCCCUGCUGGGGUCUCUCUGGAGGCUCACGGGGUCAUGGUUUAAAGCCCCUAAACUUUAAUUCCUGGCCCUUGGCUUUGGGGAAGCGUGAAUCAGACUACACCACCCUUGCUUAUUCCUUCAGCAAGGGCUUGGGAGGGGGGGGAGGGGAGGAGCCUGGGGCAGAGAGACUCUGACACUGUUCCGGGCCCCCUGGCGAGCUCAAGGUGGCAAAGUCAAGUGUAUAGGUAACUGUAGCAACAAGUGGGAAGGGACCAGAGAAGCCACCAAAGGUUUAUACAUGGUAAGGAAAGAGAGGUUUGGCACAGCUGUGUAGACUAGGGCAGGCUUCCUGGAGGAAGGGGCAUUAGACUGAGACUUGAAAGAUGGAUUUUUUUUUUUUUUUUUUUUUUGUCUUGAGUAUUGACAACAGGAGCAGGCGAUGUGAAGUGGGACGAGGCCGGGACUGUGUCAAGCAGACCUGGUCCGGGUCCCAUUCCCGAGGGCUGGUCCUUUUCUCCCUGAGCUUAUUUCUCACCAGAAGAGGAAGAACACUGUGACGAAACCAUGAAGUGACAUGGGAGAAAACGCCUGGCUGCGGGGGUGGGGGCGCCUAUGGGCAGUGCCCCAGUUACACUCACUUGUCCCGAAGGUGGUGAUGACCUGGCGGGUGCUCCAGGUUGCCUCCAGGCAGCUCUGGCUAGUCUGGUGGCACCGGUUGGCAGGGAAUCAUUAGAUACCAAGCACCCUCUCACAGAGUAAGCUCAAGAACACUGCCGUAGGAAGAGAUCUAGCUGCGCAUUCGAGGCCUUCUGCGCAUCGAAGUGGUCUGGGGCCUGGCCUCCUGGGAUGAGGCACAGCAUCGAGGAGCACAGAAGCCUUUUGCCAUCCCUGAUAACCCCAAACCAUUGCUUCAAUCCACAAGCAGCUGUGGAACAGCAAACAGGGGCAUCCUUGAGUUCAUUACCACGUGGUUUCCAGGCAACCGUUGGCCAGGCCAGCUCUGGGUCCUGACACCCAGCUGCAGGCGAACGUUGAGAGACUGGGGGGAAUCGAGGGAGGGGGGCUCUGACGGGGUCUUACUUCCCGCAGGAUGACAGCAAGGUGGGCUUUGCCUGCCAGCUGUGGUGUAGAAACUCUCGCGGGCACAGAGCAUUGAGGAUUUGACCACCGCCGUUCCUUCCGGCGCAGCGAUGGGGCUACAGAUCGCCUACUCUAACUCCCUUGUAUGAGGGAGGAAAAUGAGGCCCAGGGAGAGUGGCAGGGGCCAGGAGCGGGGACGAGGAGCCUGGGGCCUGAACUGAGAGGAGUUUAGAAAACCUCUAACCUGUGUUUGUGGUGGCAGGGGGUGAGGGAGGGGGUGGGGUGGUUGUAAAAGGGCAGCGGGAGGGGUCCUUGUGGUGAUGCAACCUUCUGUACCUUGACCGCGUUGUCAGUGUUUCAAUGCCCUGGUUGUGGUAUUGCAGGAUAGUUAUGCAAGAUGUGACAUGGGGAGAAACAGGGGAAAAGAAGACGCAGGAUCUCUCUGUAUUUUUCUUUCUUCCUUUCUUUCUUUGUUUUUCUUUCUUUUCCCUUUUUCCAUUUCUUUUCCCUUUUCUCUUUCUUUUCCCUUUUUCCCUUUCUUUUCCCUUUUGCCCUUUCUUUCAUUUUUGAGAGAGAGAGAAAGACAGAGUGCGAGCAGGGGAGGGGCAGAGAGAAAGGGAGGCACAGAAUCCGAAGCAGGCUCCAGGCUCUCAGCUGUCAGCACAGAGCCUGAUGUAGGGCUCAAACUCAUGAAAUGCGAGAUCAUGACCUGAGCUGAAGUCAGACACUCGACCGACUGUAUUAUUGUUUCUUGUAACUGCAUAUGAAUCUACAGUGAUGUCAAAACAAAAAGUGUAAUUAGAAAAAAGAAAGGAGGAGAAAACUUCAGAGCUGGAUACACACAGAGGUCUGAGGGGCAGAGGAGCCAGUCCACAGUGGACGGCUGAGCUGGGUGAAAAAGGCCUGUGUCCAGCACACCUCUAGGGGACGGUGUGCCAUGGUGCUCAGCUGGACUUGCUCUGUGAGCAGUGGCGUCCAGGCCCAACAGAGUGAGUGUCAAAGGGCGAGGCAGAGCUGAGAGGGUGGCCGAGGGUGGGUGCUGCAGGAGGAAGGGUGAGGAAGCCACCGAAGACCCUUCAUGACUAGUGAGAAGAGGUGUGGGGCAGUUGGGGGAGGGGUAGUGUCUGCCCUGUGGCCCAGUGUGGAAAAGCACUGUGAUUGCAAUAAGAAAGGGAGUCGCCAGCCAUCGGAGGACAGGAGGACCGAGGGCUCUGGAAUAUCUCUGAACCAACAGCUAUUUACAUUUCCACAGGGAAGAAUUUAGGUCAGAUGCCCAAAAGGCAGGGCUUGGCGGCAGAAAGUGCUAUCAGAGGGUAUUUAAUGAGCCAUUGGGCUGUGCAGCCUGCAGCUGGGUCAGAAGCAUGCGGACUUGCUCCUUGUGUCUGCAGUUCAACCCUGCUGAGCACCCACAAGGUAGCAGGCACUGGAGGAGACUCGUUUACACCGACACCCCUUCCUCGGCCCGGGGCUGGUGACAUGGAGAGCAGAGAGAUGACUUUAGUAGCAGAUGAGAUUGAGUCUGCCAAAGGGACUGACAAGGGCUGGGAGCUCUGUUCAAUGGCACAAGGUCUGUGGUUUGCAAAUGCCUAUUCAUAAAUGCCCUAGACAGAGCCCAGUCACUGAGGUUCCCUUCUGCACACUAAAUCAGUGUUCCUGAGCCUCAUGUGCCUAGGAAACCCUCCCACAUCUUCAGACCUCAAUUCUGUUCCCCUUAAGACCCCCACUCUAUCUAACACUUCAUGUUCCAGCCCAGGCAGGGAAGGCAGCAUUCUCUGAGGGUGCCUGCCGCUGACCAUGAUGCUGCUGGAGGAGCCCCUGUCCACCGGGCAGGGAGGCUGAUGGGGCCGAUCGCCCUAGUACCCAGACCCUACCCAACAUUCUGAAACCAGGCCUGCAAAAUUGCCAUCGGCCCUGCUGGGCUUGCCUUGUGCCUGCUGCUCAGGCAGUUCUGGGGGACAAAGCAGACGGGAGGUGGAGGUGGAAAGACCCACAUGCUGCCCUACAUAGCUCCUGGCCACACUGAUGCCAUGUGAACUCAUCUCACAAAGCCAGAGAUAAUUAGAUAGUGGGUGGGCACCCAACCCAUCUGGGCUGCAGGCUGGUGGGAAUGUUGACAUGGGGAGGUUCUUUUUGAAGGAGAAGGAGGUUCGACCCCAGUGUUCCAUAGGCUGGGGGCGUAGAUGGAUCAGGGAAAUCUCCUACAGGGGAAGGAGAGGAAGGGUGAACGGACCGGGUGGGCACCUGGUGUGUUGUACAGGAUAAGCCAGGAGGGUUCCAUUUAACUUCCUUGAUGGUCUCCUGGUCCACCUCAUCACUAAGGAGGCAGCGUCACCUCCGAUUCAGAUGAUGGAAGCAAGGCCAGGGAAGAUAAAGGACUGCGCAGGCACUCUGAGCCAGUUGCCAGAAGAAACCUGCUUCUCAGCUGUACUGUACCCAGGCCAGCUCCUACGGGCUGAAAAGGAGAGAGCUCCCUGGAGGAGGCAUGGAAAGGCAGCUGGGAUGAAGGCUGCAGUCCGACUGCAGAAAGCCUCAGAAGUCAGAGCAGGAGGCUCCCGCGGUGAUGUCGGCUAAAUGCUCCACAGUUCACUCAUGAUGGAAAGCCUGGGUCCUCCCCAGCAACCCUCCCUUUACUGCUGACUCUGGCUUUGCUUCUGGAGGGAGCUUGUGGUGCAAGGCACGAGCACAGGCUAGGACUCCACUCUGGGCUCUGGCACCUCGUAGCUGGGUGGCCUGAGCAGAUGCCCUAAGCUCUCUGAUCCUCGGUUUUGUCCCUAUAGCGGGAUCUAAUAAUACACUGCCAGCUGCCGCAAGCAUCGGAGGUACUGUACACAGAGUGCUGGGUACACGAGCACGCGCAGCAAUGAGGAGCUAUUAAUAUUGUGUCAGCUGCUGGAGGCUCCGCUUCUUCCUCAGGGUCCCUGUUUCAAUCACCCGAUCACCUCCACAGGGAUUGUUCAACCCUUGUUAGUGCUGCGGGAUGGAGGUGAAUCUCCCAAGGAUUCAGACGGGGCCCUGGGGUCUGGGAGAUGCCCUGAACAUAAGGAAACCGAGCGGUGGCCCUAAUCCUGCAUCUCACACGUCUUCCACAGCAUCCAAGAGGAGCUGCCGAUGUGGACAGCUGGUCCCGCAGCGCUCCCCCUCAGAGGGGCUAUUAGCUGGGUUAUGCAUCCAUUUGUAAUGAAAUGGAAGUGUUUUGAUUUCUCUAGGAAGCCGGAUUUUCUCCCCGAUCCUUGCUGCUUUCAUCCUUGGACAUGAAACGGCUUGUUCUAAUCUCAUAUGAAGGGGCAGCAGUUUAUAAGGCACCCAUGAAAUUUGAUCACCAACUCGGCUCCCAGGCGGCAGCUUUGAUGGCUGGGAGGGAGCAAGGCGUCCCCUGCUCGGCGCUAAUAGCCCCAUGCAUUAUUGAAGAGCCACGUUUCGGUGGCAGACACGUUCAGGGAGAUACCCAGAUUGCAGGCUGGAGUGUCAGCUGCUGGCCUCGCUCCGCGGUGACGGAGCUCUGUAAUCGGGCAGAGCCACUAAAAAUAGGCUGUCUGUGCAACUCACCCCACCCUUGCCACAGACUAGUUGGGGGCAGCUGACAUGGAACGUGCAGAUAAGGCAAAACCACCACUUUCCAAUUCUCUUAAUGGCUGUCCCUCUGAUCCAAAUGUCUGAGGAAUGAGCAGCUGCCCAGGGAAUUUCCUUCGGUGGGUGCACAUCUGAUCCCUCAGCUGAAUAUGGGCUGGGCUGUGGCCUGUGGUCUCUACUCUUGGAGGAGGACACAGAUCCCUAGGCUCUGAGAUCUGGGGCAAGGCAAAGGUUGGGACUUAAUUAUUCCUGAGAAUUUGCUGAAAACACUAAGGGGAGUUGGGCAGGCUCACCCUACUCAUCCUCACUUACUGUUUGAGGUAGAUAACCUGGUCAACCCCUCUUUCGUUCCCUCAAAACCUAUUGCUUCAUUAUCUACAACGUGCCAGGCACUGAAGCUGUAACAGUGAACAAGGGCAGAUGGGGUUCUCAGCUGUGGUAGAUGGCCUUCAAGUGACUCCUGGAUUCAUGUACUCACAUAGCCCCGUCCCAUACUGAUUAGGCCCAACCUGUGUAAUCAGUAGAAUAUUAUGGAAACGAUGCAGUGAGGUGUCUACAGCAAUUUCAUAGGAGACAUCACGGCUUCGGCCUUGUUCUCUCGGAUCAUUUGUUCUCCAAGAGAAGCCGGCUGCCACGUUGUGAGGAUACAGACUGCCCUAUGGAGAGGCCUAGCAGCCAUCUUGGAAGCGGAUCUUCUAGCCCCAGUCAAGCCUUUGGAGGACGGCCACCCUGGCUGACACCCUUGUGAGAGACCUUGACUCAGAAUCACCCAGCUAAGGUGCCCUCAAAUUUCUGACCAAUAGGAACUGUGAGAUAAUAAAUGUUUCCUAUUGUAAGCUGCUACGCUUUGGGGAAAUCUGUGGCAAUACAAUAGCUGAUGCACUGGUCUUCAGAGACUAUCACAGUCUGAUUGGGAAUUAGAUAGUGAUUACUUCCACCAAUAGCUAUAAAAUGGCAACUAUGAAAGAUGCUCUAUGUGCCUCCCUGAGGGGGGACUGACCUAACUGGAGAGGUCAGAGAAGGCUUCUGGAAGGGAGUGGUGACUGACCUGAGGCUAAAAGGCAAGUACAGGUAAAGUAGGUAAAGCAGGUGAGGAAAGGCACUCCAGGUAGAGAAGCAGCUUGAGCCAAGGCCCUGAGCUGAAAGGGAGCCCAAGGCACAGGAAUUUCAGGGAAGCCAAGGAGGUGAAGGGCAGUGAGGGAGGGAGGCACACAAGUGGACGAGAAGGCAGAUGGGGCUUCUACCACUGAAGGGUUUGCUCCUCAGCCUAAAUGCCAUGGAUAUCCCCGAAGGGGUUUUACAAAAACGAGUAACAUGCUCAGAUCUGUUUUUGGAAGGUUCUCUUAGUUCUGGUGGAGACUGGUUAGCAGAUUUUAGUAGAUGGGGCUGUGGCAGGAGCCCAGGAAGGGGAUGGGAUAUCUAGAACCAUUAAUGGUUGGUGUUAAUGAACGUAGAGAGAGGUGGACACGUUGAGAGAUACUCAUGAGGUUGAAUUGAGGGUAUUUGUGAUAAAAUGGCCAUGGGGGUGAUGGCAAGGGAGGUGCCUGGGAGGAGUUCUAGUUCAUACAACAAUCAUGGAUGAUCUGGGGAUUGAACUGGUAUGAGAGAUUCAGAAAAGCGCACCUAAUGGGGCAGGGGGCUACGUGACACUGACAUUCUGUCCAGGAAGUGCCCGGUGGUCUCAAGGGCACAGGUCCGCCCACCACCUGCUUCUGGGCAUGGCCCUGUCCUAUCAGAGCUCACAGUCUAGGGGAGCAGAUGGUACCCCUGCAGGAAGCACUGAGGGACUAGGAGAUCAGUUUGCUUCUUCCAAAGGGCGGAUGUGUCAAAACAAGAUCUAGGGCAAUGGCCCCUGUGGGGCCCUGACAUUUUUUCCAGGGUGCCUGGGGAUAAAAUUAUUUUCAUAACUGUACUAAGACAUUCUUUGCUUUUUUUUUCUCUCAUUCUUUCAUAUGAUAAAGGGGAGUGUCCCAGAAUCCAUGUGGCGUACCAUCUUGCUGGGGACUGAAUGUAGAAGCAGAUAUAAUCAUCUAGCUGUCCAUUAAACCAGACACUGAAGACAAUUCCACUCUUGUCACUAAUCAUUGUUUUAGAAAACAGUAAUUUUUCAUACAAAUAUACAUGUUAAGACAUAAUAGAUUUAUUAUUGUUUUUAAAUAAAUUAAUACAUAAUUUAAACAUUUCUCAGCUUGGGGCACCUGGGUGGCUCAGUCAGUUGAGUGUCUGCCUUUGGCUCAGGUCAUGAUCUCAUGAUUUGUGGAUUCGAGCCCUGCAUCAAGCUCACUGCUAUCAGUGCAGAACCGGCUUUGGAUCCUCUCUCCACCUCCCUCUCUGCCUCUCCCCAGGUUCUCUCUCAAAAAUAAACAUUUAAAAAAAUUUUUAAAAAUUUCUCAGCUUUAGGGCUCCCUGGGUGGCUUAGUUGGUUGAGUGUCUGAGUCUUGAUUUUGGCUCAAGUCAUGAUCUCGUGGUUCAUGGGUUCGAGCCCUACGUUAGGCUCUGUGCUCAUGGAGCUGCUUUGGAUUCUCUCUCUCUCUGCCCCUCCCCCACUUAUGUCCUCUCUCUCUCUCUCUCUCUC